rnacentral:rRNA from 1 species
UACGGAGGGUGCAAGCGUUAUCCGGAUUCACUGGGUUUAAAGGGUGCGUAGGCGGGUUGUUAAGUCAGUGGUGAAAUCUCAGAGCUUAACUCUGAAACUGCCAUUGAUACUAAUGAUCUUGAAUAUUGUGGAGGUAAGCGGAAUAUGUCAUGUAGCGGUGAAAUGCUUAGAUAUGACAUAGAACACCCAUUGCGAAGGCAGCUUACUACGCAUAUAUUGACGCUGAUGCACGAAAGCGUGGGGAUCAAACAGG